GCUGCCUGAUCUGGGGGACAACUACCCGGCCCUCCACAAUAUUUUUAGUUUCUCAUGUGGCCCCAUGGGAUAAAUAAUUGCCCACCCCAUUCCUCCUCAACCCCUGGACAUUCCUUAACCUGGAGCCGCCCGGGGAAAGGAGAAAGUGAAGACAAGAGACUGGGGGACGUCACUCGUCAUCAGAGAGAGCCAGCGUUGCUGUCGCGCACCACCACUACCGCCGCCGCUGGCAUAAAUAGGGUUUUGCCUCAUUGUCUGCUGUACCGUACUUGAAUCCUGCACUGCCGUCUCCUGCUCCUCUGGCCGCUACAGCAACACUAGUGCCCCUGAGCCGGCUGAAGACACUGGCAAGGUAUGGCAGUGGAUCAGAGGGGAUUCUUCUCCUCCUCCUUCUCGUCCUCAGAUUAUAAUUGAAACCUAUCAGCCAGAUGGAACAUAUCAAAGACUUCUUAUUGAUCCUGACAUGCUGAAGUAAAGAAAGUCCGUGAGAAGCUUCACAUUUCCAAUGAGAAAACCCCUGCUACUCUACACCUAGAGUUCCCCUUUACACUUAACCAAUCCAAAAUGAAAACAUGCUGUGUUGUAAGGAUUAUUAUGCCAUUACCCUAAUGAUGAUAUUUCUCUUCACAUUUUCUGAUAUCUCAACAAAUAAAAUGUUUCAUGUUUGUGG